AUUAAUAAUUAUUAUUUAUUUUAAUAUAUUUAUAUUUAGAAUAAAAAUAUUGUAUUUUAUUAUUAAUAAGAAUAAAUUAAUUUAAUUAUAGUUGAUUAUUAUUGUGAAAGAAUUUAUUUAUUUAUUUAAAAGAAAAAUUUAAUUUUUGUACCUUGUGUAUCAGGGUUUAUUAAUUAAUAAUUUAUAUAAAUAUAUCUCGAAUUUAAAAGAUCUAAAAAAUUAUAUUUUUUAAUGUUGAAUAAUUAUUAGAAAUAAUUUUUUAGUAAUGAAACGUUAUACGUUUUUAAAUAUAUCUAGUUUUUUAAGAAAUAAAUUUAAUUUAUUUAUUAAUUGAGUAAAAAGUUAACUAUUUAAUUUUUUAUUAUUAAUAUGUAAAAUUUUUAGGGAUGAGCUUAAAAAUUGAUUAUUAUUUAUUUAUAAAUUUUGUGAAGGUGUAGGAUUAAAAUUUUUUAUCAUUAAUAAAAUGUUAUAAUUAAUUUAUAUUGAAAUAUUAUUUUUAUAAGUGUAUUAAUUUUUCUAUUAAAAUAUUAGUUUAAAUUUUUUUAAUUAAUAAAUGAUGAUAAAAUUAGUAUAAUUUAUUUUAUUAAUAAAGAUUAUUUAAAGGUUAAGUAAAGGAAUUCGGCAAAUAAUUUUUUACCUGUUUAUUAAAAACAUGUCUUUUUGAGUAUAAUUUAAAGUCUAACCUGCCCUAUGAUUAUUUAAAUGGCCGCGGUAUUUUGACCGUGCUAAGGUAGCAUAAUCAAUAGUUUUUUAAUUGAAAGCUGGAAUGAAGGGUUGGAUAAAAAAGUUACUGUCUUUAUUUAAUUUUAUUAAAAUUUUAUUUUUAAGUUAAAAAGCUUAAAUUUUAUUAAAAGACGAGAAGACCCUAUAGAGUUUGAUAAAUUAAUUAAUUUAUAUAUUUAGAAUUUAUUUUAUUAAUUAAUUUAUUUAUUUAAUUGGGGUGAUUAAAAAACUAAAUUAACUUUUUUUAUAUUUUUACAUUUAUAAAUGUUUAUUUGAUCCAUAAUUAAUGAUUAUAAGAUAAAAUUACCUUAGGGAUAACAGCGUUAUUUUUUUUUAGAGUUCAAAUCGAAAAAAAAGAUUGCGACCUCGAUGUUGGAUUAAAAUUAAUUUUUGGUGUAGUAGCUUAAAAAUUAGGUCUGUUCGACCUUUAAAAUUUUACAUGAUCUGAGUUUAAACCGGUUUAAGCCAGGUUGGUUUCUAUCUUUAAUUAGAAAAAAUAUUUUAGUACGAAAGGAGUAAAUAUUUAAUUUAAAAUUUAUUUAUGAAUAAUUUUAAUG
rnacentral:rRNA from 1 species